AAUGAACGCUGGCGGCAGGCUUAACACAUGCAAGUCGAACGAUUAAAGCUUCUUCGGAAGUGUAUAAAGUGGCAAACGGGUGAGUAACACGUGGGAAUGUACCUUUUGGUUCGGGACAACAGUUGGAAACGACUGCUAAUACCGGAUACGCUCUACGGAGGAAAGAUUUAUCGCCAAAAGAUCAGCCCGCGCUAGAUUAGUUAGUUGGUAAGGUAACGGCUUACCAAGACGAUGAUCUAUAGCAGGUUUGAGAGGAUGAUCUGCCACACUGGGACUUAGAUACGGCCCAGACUCCUACGGGAGGCAGCAGUGAGGAAUAUUGGACAAUGGAGGAAACUCUGAUCCAGCCAUGCCGCGUGAGUGAUGAAGGCCCUAGGGUUGUAAAACUCUUUUAGUAAGGAAGAUAAUGACGGUACUUACAGAAAAAGCCCCGGCUAACUCCG
rnacentral:rRNA from 1 species